rnacentral:rRNA from 1 species
UACGGGGGGGGCAAGCGUUGUUCGGAAUUACUGGGCGUAAAGGGCUCGUAGGCGGCCAACUAAGUCAGACGUGAAAUCCCUCGGCUUAACCGGGGAACGGCCUCUGAUACUGGCUGGCUGGAGUUCGGGAGAGGGAUGCGGAAUUCCAGGUGUAGCGGUGAAAUGCGUAGAUAUCAGGAGGAACACCGGUGGCGAAGGCGGGUCUCUGGGCGAGUACUGACGCUGAGGAGCGAAAGCGUGGGGAGCGAACAGG